CACCAAAGGCAAAUAUUACGCGAAACGAACGCAAUUUCGAUAUUUACUCGACGCACAUCGACUCCGCGCGCCUGCCCGCACAUUUUCUCACAGCCAACACACGAUUUCAUCUACGGUUUCAUUACAAAAACAAUUAAGACCGAGGCUGAGUGCUUCACCUGUUUACUGCGGCUUUAAGGGAUUGAAAGUGUCCUAACCUGACUUUAUCACACAAGAGGAGAAUUGGAAGCGUGUAAAACGUAUGUUUGUGUCACACUGAGGCCCUUCUUUUCCCGUCAGUGGCCUGUGGCACUGAAAAGGAACCAACAGAAGGAGCGAAGUGCUGUGGAUCUAAUGUGUUCCUGAGAGUGAAAACACCGCAGAGAUCACAGUUAGCCCAUGGCAGUGAGCCCUUCAACGAAGCGAACAGUGGAUUUAGUUGUGGCAGUUUACCUUGCAACGCCGGGAUGCAUUUCCACACUGACACGGGCCCCUGGCUGGCGAACUGGCCCAGGGACACCUCCAGAAGAAAGAUUGGGAUCCCGGCAAUGCCCAGCAUUGUCAGGUAGGGGAUCAA